UCUGGGUCAAUACACAUUUUGUUUAGUUUCCUUCUUCUGAUUACAUUCUCUACAUAUUAACUUAAAUAAAAAGUGACAAAAGUCAAGGAUAACCAUGCUUAACUAUUCUUCGUAGAUAUGUAAGUGUUUCUCAGUACAUAUUAGUUGUUGAGAAUCAAUUAGGUGAAGAAAUGCUUUUAUAUUUUACAGGAAAAAUUAGGAUAAACCUUGAGGUGUUUUCUUAAGACUUUCUAUUGAAAAGAUAGUCGAUGUUGAACUUGCAGUUUUCCAGAAAUUAGCAAAUGACCAGUUCUGCCAUGCAAACCAUUGCAUUGUCAUCUCUAUAAGCAGUUAUUAGUAAGCUUUUAGAGCAUAUUGGAUUGGAGAUGGAUCUUCCAUUUAUUAAUAAGCAUUUUUUUGUUGAUUUUGAUGAGUAUAUGAAAUGGAUUACACGAACUGUUGUAUUUUUGUGGGUGAAUGUGUCUGUAGUGAUGUCGGUGAGUUUGGUUGAUAUUAUUAUUUUAAUCCUUGAUGAAGAUGAUCGUCCUUUGGAGCUUGGUUAGUGCUGAAAUUCAGGAACUGCUUUUGAAUUUAAGUUUUGUUUUGCACUGCUUUUGAAGUAUUAAUUUAUAUUUCAUAGUUCUGCUACCUUUAACUACUACUUCCUCAUUUGUUAUGCUGUUGAACAAAGCAAGCGGCACAUAGACUAAGGAUUAUAUUUGGAUUAUCUGGAUUGAAAGCUGCUGAGAUUCAAAUCUUUGCUUUGUAGUUAUAUAAUCAGCUUCCAAAACUAAUGCUCAGGUAGAAAAAUACUUAUUUGUAGCAGCUGUAACUAGAUAUGCAGAAUAGACAAUCUAGAUUAAUGGAUGUCAGUGGGAACUCUCAGUGGAGAUAUUUAUCUGCGGGCAUGUCCUGGUGCGUGCGGCUGUUAAUUAUGAGAAACCAAAGUCUGGGUCAAAGUAUCAAUAUGCAGAGUUCAAAUCAACAAGUUAAUUCUGAAUUAGGUGUCAUUGGUCGGGUCUAGGGGAGGUUCGAUUCGAUUAAGGAGUUGUUUGAAUGAUUGAUUGAGGGGAUUAUCAGUUGGUCGCAGCUCCUUCGCUUAUCAAAUAACGUAGCUUUGCAUUUGAAUUCUAUCGCAUCAAGUAAUAUGUAUCCUGAGGCUGAAUGUUUCGAUCGAUGUUUCGAGCCUGCUUUGAAUCAAUGUUGCAGCAUUCAGGGCAACCUUUCAUUCAUGGCAGCAAGGCAGUUUCUAACUGAUAUAUUCCAAAGAGAAGAAUCUUUCAUUAAAAGAACACAAACAAUUAGUAGAAAUGGUUUCCAAAGUCAAGGUUUCCAUUGAUAAGUUAUUUGGUGACUUGAAUAUUAAUGAUUUGAAGUCGGACUUGAAGUCUAGAACAGAAAAUUGAAGCUCUUAGAAAAUGUGGCGUCGUGCCGUUCCAUUGAAAACUUGCCUGGUCACUGAAGGAAGGGUCCGUUGUUAUCAUCCUACGUUGCACUCAGGCAUAUGUGCUAACGGAUGCCACCUCCCAAUGAGUUUCGAUUUCAGACCAGGUUCCUGUCAUCAUUAAUGCCAUAGCCUAAUCAGUGCAGGAUUGUGUCCAGCAACUAAAAAUUCUUUUUGGCUCCAACAUAACAAAACUGUGAUUCAAGUGGAGUUUCUCAAAAACAAGUCAUAGCUGCACUACGUAUUGUGUAAUUUUAUGUAACCUACAUAGCCCAAUUUUUUGUAUUUGGUUGGGUAUUUGUAAUAUGUCUGCUACAAUUAUGAACCUAUUUUGUUGACUGUUUCACUGUAAUGUAUUAACAAAUCAUUCUUUU